UGGGGAGUCGUCUAACGGUAGGACAGCUGACUCUGGAUCAGCCAGUUGGGGUUCGAAUCCCUGCUCCCCAG
rfam:Sphaerobacter thermophilus DSM 20745 chromosome 1, complete sequence.